rnacentral:rRNA from 1 species
UAUACCGUGAAACUGCGAAUGGCUCAUUAAAUCAGUUAUCGUUUAUUUGAUAAUACCUUACUACUUGGAUAACCGUGGUAAUUCUAGAGCUAAUACAUGCUGAAAAUCCCGACUUCGGAAGGGAUGUGUUUAUUAGAUAAAAAACCAAUGCCCUUCGGGGCUUUUUGGUGAUUCAUGAUAACUUUACGGAUCGCAUAGCCUUGCGCUGGCGACGGUUCAUUCAAAUUUCUGCCCUAUCAACUUUCGAUGGUAAGGUAUUGGCUUACCAUGGUUUCAACGGGUAACGGGGAAUUAGGGUUCGAUUCCGGAGAGGGAGCCUGAGAAACGGCUACCACAUCCAAGGAAGGCAGCAGGCGCGCAAAUUACCCAAUCCCGACACGGGGAGGUAGUGACAAUAAAUACUGAUACAGGGCUCUUUUGGGUCUUGUAAUUGGAAUGAGUACAAUUUAAACCUCUUAACGAGGAACAAUUGGAGGGCAAGUCUGGUGCCAGCAGCCGCGGUAAUUCCAGCUCCAAUAGCGUAUAUUAAAGUUGUUGCAGUUAAAAAGCUCGUAGUUGAAACUUGGGCCUGGCUGGCGGGUCCGCCUCACCGCGUGCACUCGUCCGGCCGGGCCUUCCUUCUGAAGAACCUCAUGCCCUUCACUGGGCGUGCUGGGGAAUCAGGACUUUUACUUUGAAAAAAUUAGAGUGUUCAAAGCAGGCCUUUGCUCGAAUACGUUAGCAUGGAAUAAUAAAAUAGGGCGCGCGUUUCUAUUUUGUUGGUUUCUAGAGACGCCGCAAUGAUUAACAGGAACAGUCGGGGGCAUCAGUAUUCAGUUGUCAGAGGUGAAAUUCUUGGAUUUACUGAAGACUAACUACUGCGAAAGCAUUUGCCAAGGAUGUUUUCAUUAAUCAGUGAACGAAAGUUAGGGGAUCGAAGACGAUCAGAUACCGUCGUAGUCUUAACCGUAAACUAUGCCGACUAGAGAUCGGGCGAUGUUCUUUUUCUGACUCGCUCGGCACCUUACGAGAAAUCAAAGUUUUUGGUUCUGAGAGAUUAUGGUCGCAAAGCUGAAACUUAAAGAAAUUGAGGAAAGUCACCACCAGGCGUGGAGCCUGCCGCUUAAUUUGACUCAACACGGGGAAACUCACCAAGUCCAGAUGAAAUAAGGAUUGACAGAUUGAGAGCUCUUUCUUGAUUUUUCAGGUGGUGGUGCAUGGCCGUUCUUAGUUCGUGGGGUGACUUGUCUGCUUAAUUGCGAUAACGAGCGAGACCUUACUCUGCUAAAUAGCCAGGCUAACUU